rnacentral:tRNA from 1 species
UGGCUGAGUGAUAAAGCGCUUGACUUGCGAUCCAAGGGGUCCCAGGUUAAAAUCCUGG